rnacentral:tRNA from 1 species
UCUAAUAUGGCAGAUUAGUGCAAUGGAUUUAAGCCCCAUAUAUAAAGUUUAAACUUUUUUUAGAAA